AAAAGAGGAAGUUCGGUUAAAAACGGCACGUCAAUAGCCAACACCGAACUGACCUGCAUCCUGCAGG
rfam:Pontibacillus chungwhensis BH030062 contig13, whole genome shotgun sequence.